AGCAAGUUUUAUGGUCAAGCUACUAAGGGCAAACGGUGGAUGCCUAGGCGCUUCGAGGCGAUGAAGGACGUGGCAAGCUGCGAUAAGCUCCGGUGAGGUGCAAGCAACCUAUGACCCGGAGAUCUCCGAAUGGGGAAACCCCAUUGAACUGCCGCCUGAAUCCAUAGGGCGGUAAGAGCGAACCCAGGGAAGUGAACCAUCUCAGUACCUGGAGGAAAAGAAAACAAUAGUGAUUCCGUCAGUAGUGGCGAGCGAAAGCGGAACAGCCUAAACCGACUGAGCAUGCUCAGUCGGGGUCGUGGGACCAAACAUAACGAAGAUAAGAGGUUAGCAGAAAGGUCUUGGAAAAGCCUGCCAUAGAGCGUGAUAGCCGCGUACGCGAAAAUCUCGAGUCUUCAGUUUGGCACCCGAGUAAUGCGGGACACGAGAAAUCCUGCAUGAAUCUGCCGGGACCAUCCGGUAAGGCUAAAUACUCCGAAGCGACCGAUAGUGCACCAGUACCGUGAGGGAAAGGUGAAAAGAACCCCGGUGAGGGGAGUGAAAUAGAACCUGAAACCGUUUGCUUACAAGCAGUGGGAGGCCGUAAGGCUGACCGCGUGCCUUUUGCAUAAUGAGCCGGCUAGUGAAUGUCACAGGCAAGGUUAAACCGAUAAGGUGGAGCCGAAGCGAAAGCGAGUCCUAAUAGGGCGCUAAGUCUGUGGCAUUCGGACGCGAAGCGAGAUGAUCUAGGCAUGGCCAGGAUGAAGCCGAGGUAACACUCGGUGGAGGUCCGAACCAGUGUGGGUUGAAAACCGCUUGGAUGAGCUGUGCCUAGGGGUGAAAGGCUAAUCAAAUCUCGUGAUAGCUCGUUCUCGCCGAAAUAGCUUUAGGGCUAGCCUCGGAUGAACACCAACGGUGGUAAAGCACUGAAUGGGCUAGGGGCCCCACAGGGUUACCGAACCCAAUCAAACUCUGAAUGCCGUUGAGUGCUGUCCGGGAGUCAGACUACGGGUGCUAAGAUCCGUGGUCGAGAGGGAAACAACCCAGACUAACAGCUAAGGUCCCAAAGUUGCGGUUAAGUGGUAAAGGAGGUAGGGAAGCCCUGACAGCCAGGAGGUUUGCUUAGAAGCAGCAAUCCUUUAAAGAAAGCGUAAUAGCUCACUGGUCAAGCAUCCCUGCACCGACAAUUCAACGGGGCUCAAACCGCACACCGAAGCUUUGGAUGCCGUAUGGCAUGGUAGGCGAGCAUUCCGUAGCUGCGAAGCAGUUCCGUGAGGACUGUUGGAGCGACCGGAAGAGACUCUGUCGGCAUUAGUAGCGAUAACGUAUGUGAGAACCAUACGCACCGAAAACCUAAGGUUUCCUGCGUAAAGUUAAUCUGCGCAGGGUUAGUCGGUCCCUAAGGCGAGGGCGAAAGCCGUAGCCGAUGGAAAUCCGGUUAAUAUUCCGGAACCGAGUAGUAGUGCCGUGGGGGGACGCAACCGGGUAGGUGAGACGGCUGAUGGACGCCGUUGAAGUAACCAGCCCGUUGCCUAGGCAAAUCCGGGCAACAUACAGGGCAAAUAAACGGACGAAAGUACGCGUCUUUGACGCGGAAAAAGUCACUGACCCCAGUUGCCAAGAAAAGCCUCGUUCGGCUUCAACUGCUACCGACCGUACCGCAAACCGACACAGGUAGGUGGGGUGAGAAUCCUAAGGUGCUUGUGAGAACCCUCGUUCAGGAACUCGGCAAAUUAGCCCCGUAACUUCGGGAGAAGGGGUGCCUCGGUAGGGUUAACAGCCCGAGGAGGUCGCAGAGAAAUGUCCCAGGCGACUGUUUAACAAAAACACAGGUCUCCGCAAAGUCGUAAAGACGACGUAUGGGGGCUGACGCCUGCCCAAUGCCGGAAGGUUAAAGGGAGGGGUUAGCCGCAAGGCGAAGCUCCGAACUGAAGCCCCGGUAAAUGGCGGCCGUAACUAUAACGGUCCUAAGGUAGCGAAAUUCCUUGUCGGGUAAGUUCCGACCUGCACGAAUGGCGUAACGAUCUGGGCGCUGUCUUAACGAGGGGCACUGCGAAUUUGUGGUACCGGUGAAGACGCCGGUUGCCCGUGUCUAGACGGAAAGACCCCGUGCACCUUUACUACAACCUGGUAGUGAUUUCGGGCAAGCGAUGCGCAGGAUAGGUGGGAGGCUGUGAACCCGGGCUUUCGGGCUCGGGGGAGCCGACGGUGAGAUACCACCCUUCGUUUGCUUGGAAUCUAACCUAGAACCGUAAGCCGGUUCAGGGACACUGUCAGGCGGGUAGUUUGACUGGGGCGGUCGCCUCCUAAAGAGUAACGGAGGCGCUCAAAGGUUGGCUCAGGCUGUUUGGAAAUCAGCCGUAGAGUGCAAACGCAUAAGCCAGCUUGACUGCGAGACCCACAAGUCGAGCAGGGACGAAAGUCGGAGUUAGUGAUCCGGCGGUUCCGCAUGGAAGGGCCGUCGCUCAACGGAUAAAAGGUACGCCGGGGAUAACAGGCUGAUCCUGCCCAAGAGUUCACAUCGACGGCGGGGUUUGGCACCUCGAUGUCGGCUCAUCGCAUCCUGGGGCUGAAGAAGGUCCCAAGGGUUCGGCUGUUCGCCGAUUAAAGCGGUACGUGAGCUGGGUUCAGAACGUCGCGAGACAGUUCGGUCCCUAUCUGGUGUGGGCGUAGCAGGACUGAGGGAAUCUGUCCUUAGUACGAGAGGACCGGGAUGGACCGACCUCUGGUGUACGAGUUGUCGCGCCAGCGGCAGCGCUCGGUAGCCAAGUCGGGCAUGGAUAAACGCUGAAUGCAUCUAAGCGUGAAGCCAGACCCAAGAUUAGUCCUGCCAGUGAGGCUCGUGGAAGACCACCACGUUGAUAGGCCAGAGGUGUAAGCGCAGCAAUGCGUUCAGCCGACUGGUACUAAAAGCCCCAUGGCUUGACCAUAAAAC
rnacentral:rRNA from 1 species